rnacentral:rRNA from 1 species
AACAGUAGAAUUCUAAAUUAUAAAAUUUUAUAAUGAUAAACUAAAAUUGAUUAAGGGUAAAAUUUAAUAGUAGAGGUUUGAAUUUAUCAUAAUAAAGAUAUUAAUUAAAACAAGGAUUAGAUACCCUUUUAUUUUUAUUCAAUAUAUAAAUUGGAGAGUACGAGCAAUAGCUUAAAAACUAAAGAAUAUGGCGGUGUUUUAUUCGAUCAGGGUGACAUGUAUCUUAAUUUGAUAGUCCACGGUUUUUAAGCCUGACUUUGAAAUUCAGCAUGUGUACUGCCGUUUUACAUAGUUUUAAGAAAUUGUGUAUAAUAUAUGAAUCUUUCAUAUAAUUAGUCAGGUCAAAGCGCAGUCUAUAGUCAGGUGAGAAUGUGUUACAUUUAUUUAAACAUUCAAUUUAUUGAUUUAAAUUUUAAUAAGAAGAAGAACUUGAUAGUAAUUAAAUUGAUUAAAUUUAAUGAAAAGGAUUUUAACGCGUACAAAUCGCCCGUCACUCCUUUAUAAAGG